UAGUUUCAAAGAUUUUUGUCUUUGUUUAAUUUAAUUUUAAUUCAAUAUUUUUAAAGCCAACUAACACCCUUUUCUUCUCUCUCUUUCUCUGUCAGAAAGACUCAAACUCUGUAUUGUUGCGUUGUUUGAGAACAAAUUUUUAUUAUUUUUUCCCCAAAAAACCAGAGAGGGCAACCGGCGAGUGCAAAAUCUCGCCGGAAUUCCGCUCCGCGGUUGCCGGAAUCUCCAUUUUUUCCGAUUCGAGCUUCGAAUUUUGGAUUACAUCACUUUUUUCCAUUUUCCUUGUUUUCGCUUGGUGUUGUUAUUAUUACAUAGGAAAGAAAAUAUUUCAGAAUUCGUUCGGCAGAAACCAACAAUUUUUGGUGUUAAUGUUUACGUUACUUCCUUCAUCUUGACCCCGCUUUUUCGGGCGGUGAAGGGGUGUACACCGAGGCAAUGCAGUAAACAACAAAAGCGAAGAGGGUUUCUACAGAGAUCUCUUGCUCUAUAUAAGCUUCUAGGACCCUCUCCAAAGAUUCAAUUCCAUUUUCCUGAGCUUGAAGGAAGAGAUAAAAAAAAAGUUGUUUUCUUGGGGUUUGGUUUUUGUGUUGAAAUUUUUUUUUAUCAAAGAUGAUAGGGGCUAGUAAGUGAGAUUGUGGAUUUUCUGGAUUCUCAGCUGAAGGAUGCCUUUUGAAGUAAUGAACCAGAGGGGCGUUUCGACCUUGUCUCACUUUUACGACGACAUCUCCUUUCCUCCAGAGGUGAGGAUUAUCCUCACUCUCUCACUUUGGUGUUCUUAAAUUUUAUCAUAUAAAUUUAAGAACUUUGGCACUAGUUUCCAAAAGAAGAAUCCUGGAUUACGGAAG